CGGUAAUGAUUUUAAAAUUGAAUUUUUGUUUUUUUAAUUAAAAAAGUGUAAACAAAACUGAAAAGUGCGUUCGGUAGGAAGAUUUUGUUUUUUAUUUUUAAAAUUAAAAAACAAAACUAAAGAAAUUUUCAAAACAGAUUUUUGUUGAUUUUAAAAAUUUUAAAAACACUUUUUCUCAACUUCUCUCUUGCUUAUUCUUUCAGAAGCUCAAGUUCUCUUCCAUGGCUUCAACUAUUCCACAGAUUUGAAAAUGUAAAAAGAGAUUAUCAUGAUGGGAGUAGCUUGAGGAAGAAUUUUUGUUGUUACAGAAUGAAAAUGUUAGGCUAAUUGUUUGCAAUAUUCUUUUGGGAUUUUCUUCGGUUUUAGUUCUCGACAUCAUUUCUAGUGACUUAAAUACAGAAGUACAUUGUGAUUGCUUGUUGUAGAAUUCACAAUUUUAUAAGGACAAAUGCAAAAAAAGAUAUAUAUUUUGAUGGAGAUGAAGACAUUCCUGAAGUACAAAAUGCUACUAUACAAAGCACCCACCAAAUUUUGAAUGAUAGUGUUGAGUUUAGUAUUUCAAGAGAUCAAAUUCGUGAAAUGGCUGAUGUUCGUGAUGAAAUUGCUGAUCAUAUAUGGAGAGCAAAUCGACGAUGAAGAUAAUGAGUGAAGCUUAUUAACAAUUAGAACUUUUUUAAUAUUUUUCAUCAAGAUUGGAUAAUUAUUAGUUCAUAUUUUAUUAUGACUUUGUCGGUUUUGUAUUAUAGAUAAUGAGUUUCGUGAUUUUAAAUUACUUGAUUUUUUUUAA